GCUGCUGUAGCUCAGUCGGUAGAGCGCAUCCUUGGUAAGGAUGAGGUCACCAGUUCGAAUCUGGUCAGCAGCUCCA
rnacentral:tRNA from 4 species